rnacentral:rRNA from 1 species
GAUGAACGCUAGCUACAGGCUUAACACAUGCAAGUCGAGGGGCAGCAUGGUCUUAGCUUGCUAAGGCCGAUGGCGACCGGCGCACGGGUGAGUAACACGUAUCCAACCUGCCGUCUACUCUUGGACAGCCUUCUGAAAGGAAGAUUAAUACAAGAUGGCAUCAUGAGUCCGCAUGUUCACAUGAUUAAAGGUAUUCCGGUAGACGAUGGGGAUGCGUUCCAUUAGAUAGUAGGCGGGGUAACGGCCCACCUAGUCGUCGAUGGAUAGGGGGUCUGAGAGGAAGGUCCGCCACAUUGGAACUGAGACACGGUCCAA